rnacentral:rRNA from 1 species
UGGGGAAUAUUGGACAAUGGGCGAAAGCCUGAUCCAGCCAUGCCGCGUGUGUGAAGAAGGUCUUCGGAUUGUAAAGCACUUUAAGUUGGGAGGAAGGGCAGUAAGCGAAUACCUUGCUGUUUUGACGUUACCGACAGAAUAAGCACCGGCUAACUCUGUGCCAGCAGCCGCGGUAAUACAGAGGGUGCAAGCGUUAAUCGGAAUUACUGGGCGUAAAGCGCGCGUAGGUGGUUCGUUAAGUUGAAUGUGAAAGCCCCGGGCUCAACCUGGGAACUGCAUCCAAAACAGGCGAGCUAGAGUAGGGCAGAGGGUGGUGGAAUUGCCUGUGUAGCGGUGAAAUGCGUAGGUAUAGGAAGGAACACCAGUGGCGAAGGCGACCACCUGGGCUCAUACUGACACUGAGGUGCGAAAGCGUGGGGAGCAAACAGG